UACGAAGGGGGCUAGCGUUGCUCGGAAUCACUGGGCGUAGAGCGCACGUAGGCGGAUCUUUAAGUCAGGGGUGAAAUCCCGAGGCUCAACCUCGGAACUGCCUUUGAUACUGGGGAUCUCGAGUCCGGAAGAGGUUGGUGGAACUCCGAGUGUAGAGGUGAAAUUCGUAGAUAUUCGGAAGAACACCAGUGGCGAAGGCGGCCAACUGGUCCGGUACUGACGCUGAGGUGCGAAAGCGUGGGGAGCAAACAGG
rnacentral:rRNA from 1 species